rnacentral:tRNA from 2 species
GUAGUCGUGGCCGAGUGGUUAAGGCGAUGGACUUGAAAUCCGUUGGGGUCUCCCCGCGCAGGUUCGAAUCCUGCCGGCUACG